rnacentral:rRNA from 1 species
UACGAAGGGGGCUAGCGUUGCUCGGAAUCACUGGGCGUAAAGGGUGCGUAGGCGGGUCUUAAGUCAGGGGUGAAAUCCUGGAGCUCAACUCCAGAACUGCCUUUGAUACUGAGGAUCUUGAGUUCGGGAGAGGUGAGUGGAACUGCGAGUGUAGAGGUGAAAUUCGUAGAUAUUCGCAAGAACACCAGUGGCGAAGGCGGCUCACUGGUCCGAUACUGACGCUGAGGCACGAAAGCGUGGGGAGCAAACAGGG